rnacentral:tRNA from 1 species
GGCGGCUGAAUUGGAUGGUCAAAUACCUCAACAUGCUGAUGUUGAAACUGUUCCGACGGCCUGCAAAGCCGUUUAGGCCGGUUCGACUCCGGCCCGCGCCUCCA